UACGUAGGGGCCUAGCGUUGUCCGGAUUUAUUGGGCGUAAAGAGCUCGUAGGCGGUUUGGUAAGUCUGGUGUGAAAUCUCCACGCUCAACGUGGAGGGGCCACCCGAUACUGCCAUGACUGGAGUCCGGUAGAGGAGUGUGGAAUUCCCGGUGUAGCGGUGAAAUGCGCAGAUAUCGGGAGGAACACCCGUAGCGAAGGCGGCACUCUGGGCCGGUACUGACGCUGAGGAGCGAAAGCGUGGGGAGCAAACAGG
rnacentral:rRNA from 1 species